rnacentral:lncRNA from 1 species
GCAUUCAAAUUUUUAAAGGAUUGUUUGACUAGGGUGAAAAUAAAAGAUUUUAGUUAAAAGCUUUUGUAUUUGGGUCUAAGAAUUCAGGCAUAAGAUUUUUUUUUGGCCGUUCUAGUUUGCCAGGAAGGGUACUGUAAUUUUGGAUUUUGGAUUUGGCAUUGACACCAUAUAGGUGUCUUUCUUCCGCAUCAUCGUCUUUAUCAUCAACCCGGUUUAAGAUUGUACUUAGUUAUUUUGCUUGUAGUGAAGGGUACUGUUAUUGGAUGAAGAUAUAGAGUUCCUAUGAGGGAAUGCUGUUGGUUGACAUGCAUUUUUUUUUUUUUUUACUUUUAAUUCUAAUGAAAAUUGGUUCUUCCUUUGUGUAUCUUAGAUUGAUAUUUCUUACCAGGAAUAUUUUGUAAUGAUGAUAUUAUGGAAAUCUAGCAAAUGAUAUAGCAUGAAUGCCUUUUGCUGAUAAAUCUUUCCACAGUGCUUUGUUAGGUGGAGCUGUCAUUAUUGAAGAAUGUCUCCAAGCAAUGUGGCGAAUGAACAAUUCUGGGGUACGCAUUGGAUCUCCCUUUAGUACUGAGUUCUUUAUUUAAGUUCUUUCAUUGUUUUCCGUUGUGAUCCUAAGUCAUGCCUUAUAGAGUCUAGGCCUUGAGAAUGCAAAAUAAAAUGCAUUUUGGUUAAGUUUUGGAGAUCUAAUUUGAUAAAGUAGAUAUUUCUUUCUUGUAUGUAUAAUAUUCCUAUCAAGUAAUUCUUGGCAUAAAAUAUCCUCCUUGACCACGAAUUGCUGCCAGUUGUUCCAAUAGGCAGGGACUAGCCAGUAUAGCUCAGCAUAACCCAAGUGCUACUAACCAUUAAAAUAUCACCUCGAACAAAUUUUACUGAAGCAUUUUGCUAAAUGGUUCAGUUUUCUCAGUCCUGUUGUCUAAUCAACUAGUUGCUGGGGUUCGGCUAGAUUUAAGAUAUUUGUUACUUAUAAGACCUUUAGGAACAAGCUGCAGUCUUGGUUGUGCCAGCCUGAAAGAAUUGUGCUGCAUUUUUUCGUCCUGCCUUCUGCUUGUUAUCUCAUUUGGUUGUAUGUUGCUUUGGACCCUAUAACCUGCAGACUUCAUUUUGAUUCAUGAUUUCUUUUUCACAAUCAUUUAAGUUGAUAUAUUUGCAUUUUUAGUAUACUCAACUUGAUAAGGUUAUUGACAGGUUGGCACUCAUGUUUUAUCUACAAAAGGAGUUCGUUUGUGCAUAUUUAGUAUAUUUGCUUAUACGUCUCAUAUGUUUUAAUUUUCUUUGUUUCAGAUUGAAGCAACAAGCAGGAUUUGAUGUUCGCAUUUGAAGAACAUUUAGCUGGAGCUUUUUACUCUUCUUUGUUUUAGCUUUUGAAUAUUUGGGGUUCAAAUAAAUUUUCUAUUGCAUUGAUUUCUAUUAGAACAUAAAAACUUGUUUUCUGUAUUUUAUCACUGCUAUAGAUCAACAAUCUUAUAGUUUUGUUACAACCAUUUUUACUGUGUUGUUAUACUUCUCUAUUGCAAUUUAGUAAUAUGAUUCUAUUUUGUUCCGGAUACUACAGAUUGUAGGUUUUACAAUUAAUAUCAAAUGAAAAAAAUCCUAUUGUAAUUUGUUGAUAUUAGUAUUUUUUUUUAAUAUUAGUUUCAAAUUGCCAGCGGUCAAAAACUGUUGGUAUAUGCGCCUUAUGCCAGUGUUUUUCUUGUACUUUUAGCGACGGUUUAAGAACUGUUGCUAUAGAUCAUUUUCACCGAUGGUUAGUAAAAGUGCUGGGAAAAGGUUAUACCAGCAAGGAUAUUGUAGCGGUCACCUGCACUUUUACCAGCAGUUUUAGAACUGCUGGAGCAAAUAUUACCAGCAGUUUUCGUAUUCUUUAUCAGCAGUUUUGGCUGCUGGUAUAGGCCUUUUUUUUUGUAGUGUAGAGA